AUUGAACGCUGGCGGCAUGCCUUACACAUGCAAGUCGAACGGCAGCGGGGGUAGCUUGCUACCUGCCGGCGAGUGGCGAACGGGUGAGUAAUACAUCGGAACGUGCCCUGUAGUGGGGGAUAACUAGUCGAAAGACUAGCUAAUACCGCAUACGACCUGAGGGUGAAAGUGGGGGACCGCAAGGCCUCAUGCUAUAGGAGCGGCCGAUGUCUGAUUAGCUAGUUGGUGGGGUAAAGGCCCACCAAGGCGACGAUCAGUAGCUGGUCUGAGAGGACGAUCAGCCACACUGGGACUGAGACACGGCCCAGACUCCUACGGGAGGCAGCAGUGGGGAAUUUUGGACAAUGGGGGCAACCCUGAUCCAGCAAUGCCGCGUGUGUGAAGAAGGCCUUCGGGUUGUAAAGCACUUUUGUCCGGAAAGAAAUCGCUUCGGUUAAUACCUGGGGUGGAUGACGGUACCGGAAGAAUAAGGACCGGCUAACUACGUGCCAGCAGCCGCGGUAAUACGUAGGGUCCAAGCGUUAAUCGGAAUUACUGGGCGUAAAGCGUGCGCAGGCGGUUGUGCAAGACCGAUGUGAAAUCCCCGGGCUUAACCUGGGAAUUGCAUUGGUGACUGCACAGCUAGAGUGUGUCAGAGGGAGGUAGAAUUCCACGUGUAGCAGUGAAAUGCGUAGAGAUGUGGAGGAAUACCGAUGGCGAAGGCAGCCUCCUGGGAUAACACUGACGCUCAUGCACGAAAGCGUGGGGAGCAAACAGG
rnacentral:rRNA from 1 species